UACGAAGGGGGCUAGCGUUGCUCGGAAUCACUGGGCGUAGAGGGUGCGUAGGCGGGUCUUUAAGUCAGGGGUGAAAUCCUGGAGCUCAACUCCAGAACUGCCUUUGAUACUGAGGAUCUUGAGUACGGGAGAGGUGAGUGGAACUGCGAGUGUAGAGGUGAAAUUCGUAGAUAUUCGCAAGAACACCAGUGGCGAAGGCGGCUCACUGGCCCGUUACUGACGCUGAGGCACGAAAGCGUGGGGAGCAAACAGG
rnacentral:rRNA from 1 species